AUUGAACGCUGGCGGCAGGCCUAACACAUGCAAGUCGAACGGUAACAGGAAGAAGCUUGCUUCUUUGCUGACGAGUGGCGGACGGGUGAGUAAUGUCUGGGAAACUGCCUGAUGGAGGGGGAUAACUACUGGAAACGGUAGCUAAUACCGCAUAACGUCGCAAGACCAAAGAGGGGGACCUUCGGGCCUCUUGCCAUCGGAUGUGCCCAGAUGGGACUAGCUAGUAGGUGGGUUAACGGCUCACCUAGGCGACGAUCCCUAGCCGGUCUGAGAGGAUGACCAGCCACACUGGAACUGAGACACGGUCCAGACUCCUACGGGAGGCAGCAGUGGGGAAUAUUGCACAAUGGGCGCAAGCCUGAUGCAGCCAUGCCGCGUGUAUGAAGAAGGCCUUCGGGUUGUAAAGUACUUUCAGCGGGGAGGAAGGGAGUAAAGUUAAUACCUUUGCUCAUUGACGUUACCCGCAGAAGAAGCACCGGCUAACUCCGUG
rnacentral:rRNA from 1 species